UACGGGGGGGGCAAGCGUUGUUCGGAAUUACUGGGCGUAAAGGGCUCGUAGGCGGCCAACUAAGUCAGACGUGAAAUCCCUCGGCUUAACCGGGGAACUGCAUCUGAUACUGGAUGGCUUGAGUUCGGGAGAGGGAUGUGGAAUUCCAGGUGUAGCGGUGAAAUGCGUAGAUAUCUGGAGGAACACCGGUGGCGAAGGCGGCAUCCUGGACCGACACUGACGCUGAUGGGCGAAAGCCAGGGGAGCAAACGGGAU
rnacentral:rRNA from 1 species